GACGAACGCUGGCGGCGUGCUUAACACAUGCAAGUCGAACGGAAAGGCCCUGCUUUUGUGGGGUGCUCGAGUGGCGAACGGGUGAGUAACACGUGAGUAACCUGCCCUUGACUUUGGGAUAACUUCAGGAAACUGGGGCUAAUACCGGAUAGGGGCUCCUGCUGCAUGGUGGGGGUUGGAAAUUUUCGGCGGGUGGGGAUGGACUCGCGGCUUAUCAGCUUGUUGGUGGGGUAGUGGCUUACCAAGGCUUUGACGGGUAGCCGGCCUGGGAGGGUGACCGGCCACAUUGGGACUGGGAUACGGCCCAGACUCCUCCGGGAGGCAGCAGUGGGGAAUAUUGCACAAUGGGCGGAAGCCGGAUGCAGCAACGCCGCGUGCGGGAUGACGGCCUUCGGGUGGUAAACCGCUUUCGCCUGUGACGAAGCGUGAGUGACGGUAAUGGGUAAAGAAGCACCGGCUAACUACGUG
rnacentral:rRNA from 1 species